CUGAGGCAGAGGCAGCGUUCCCGGGAACUCAAGCACCGCUUCACUUCUGCUCCUUUUAGCCAGACCCAGAACGCCGGUUCGUCCUCGAGGUGGACGCUUCCGACACCCCCAGACCAACGGUCAGACUGAGCGGGCCAACCAGGAGUUGGAAACUGCAAUACACUGUGACUUCAGCUAACCCUUCCUCCUGGAGUUCCCAGCUACCCUGGGUGGAAUAUGCCCACAACACCCUCAUGAACGCCUCAUCAGGUAUGUCUCCCUUUGCGUGUGCAUUUGGUUACCAACCUCCCUUGUUCCCUGCCCAAGAGGUUGAAGUAGCGGUGCCCUCAGUCCAGGAUCACAUACGCCAUUUUCGUCACACCUGGAGGGGGGCCCGGGCUGCCGCCAGGACCCAAUCCAAAGCUAACUGUCGCCGUGCCCCAGCCUACACUCCAGGCCAAAAGUACCUCUCUGGUUCCUGUCUCCUGUUCCACAUCUCACCACUAACCACAUUCCUCUGGAUUUCACUCCCCACCAUUACCUUGGAUUUCCCUCAGGACCUGUUUCCCUAUUCUGCUCUGAUUCCGCUCUUGGGUUCCCCCCUUCACUCCUCAUAACAGAGGAAGCAACUGUGCAGAGGUAGACAAUGAAGAGGAAGAUGAGAGCAAAAAAGGUUGUCUACAGGGAGUGUGUGCCAAUUUGUCGGCAUAUCGACGGUCGCUGGGGGUCAAAAGCUCAUAUGUCCUCCACCUCCUCUGGUUCGAGUGACACCAGCGGGGGCGGAACCGACAAUGUGGUCCAAUCAGAUGAAGGGGGGGUGCACGCCGACACCCUGCUGCUGACCUCUGUGCCCCGAAUGAAAGAUGGAGUGGCCAGGCUUCUCUUUCUCUUCUGUCUCUUCAUCUUAGAGACACAAGUCAAUCAGCUGUUCUGACAAGGAAUGGGUAAACAGACUAAACUCAGAGAUCGAUACAUUUACAAUGUAUGUUCUGUAUUGGUUUUAUCAUUCUGCAAUAAAUAAAUAAAAAUCCCUGACAUUUCA